CCAGAGGGGUUUUAGGGGGGUUUGGGAGUCCCUGAAGGGGUUUUAGGUGGUCUCAGAGGGAUUUGGGAGGUCCUUGGGGGUAUCUGGGGCUUCCAACACGGUCAGUUGGAGUGGGGAGUCCCUCAUUUUGGGCUGCCCCAACCUAACAUUGGGCUCCCAGCACCCCACUUGGGGGGUUCACCCUCACUCGGGGCUCCCUCCCCCCGUUGCCGGGGUGGUUGUUGGGUCGCACCUCCCCCCCACCCGUGCUCCACCUGUUGUCCUCCCCCAGGACUGGUGUCUUCGGAGCGCUCCAGCCUCGAAUUCCUGCUGAGCCGCACGGGGCGGGGCACGUGGCCAUGCUCCUGGGGGGGGGGCCGAGGCGCUGGAUGUGCAUCCCGGGGGUGCUGCGCCUGUGCCUGCAGCACCGCACCGGCUACAUGCGCAGCGCCCUACGCCACAGAUGGCUGGAACCACAGGAGGUGUAGCAUGGAGACAAGAAGGAUGAGGAGGGUAGAUGCCCCCUGCAUGAAGGCGAAGCUUGGAUUUCUUGAGGUCCCCUAUGUGACAGGUAACAGGUUGGGCUCACUUUUGUGACUGUUUCCUUCCGGAGGGGGCCUGCAUUUUCCCACAUCUUCCUUUUAUCCCCAGUGUACUAUACAAGCUUUUUUUGUUGGCGUUAAUGUCCUUGGCCAAAUUGAGUUCUGACACAACUUUAUCUUUCCUAACCUGAUCUCUGGCUGCUCUAUUUCUCUCCAUUCC
rnacentral:lncRNA from 1 species